CCGGUGACGUUGGACACAUUGGAGUGUGACAUUUGUGAUCUGAAUUUUCUAAAGCUACAGUAAGGAGUGUCACUGUUCUGCUCUCUUUUAUUGCCUCAGAUAAUUUUUCUAGAAAGCAUUUCUCUAUCCCUCGCAAG